AGCCGGUGGGUGGAACCGAGAGAGCCUCUCCAGGGAGCAGCGUACGCAGUCCAGAAGGCUGCAGUAUUUCCUCCAAGAAAAAAAAAAAAAAAGGCUGCUUCAACCCCUGCUGCAAGCAAAGUUCCGAUUCCCUCUGCUGGCUAUCUCGAAUAGCAAGCGAUUUUUGCAGCAACGCUGCUGCCGCUGGAACUGAACCUGAAGAACUCAAAUGCGGGCGGUGGAUUAUUUCUUAUCCCUCCUCCAUCUACCCCACACAAGAGCUGCUUUUUGUUCCUCUUUUUGCCAAGUUCCAAGGAGUCUUGAGACUUCUCUUCUUUUGGUGUGGAUUCCGGAACUCCUUUCUGAAGCAAGAGGCAAAUAUCUCUCAGCAGAGAAUGCCAAGACCAAUCACUUAACCAUGGCAAUCUUACUCAGCAUGGUAAUUCCCACCCUGAUGGUCCCAAGAUGGCUGCAGCAGUUUCAGCCAUGUUAUCCUAAUCCACCAACAUCUGGAGGUAUCUGUCUUUUCAAUCUCCAUCUAUUACAAAUGUAGGAUACUUUUACCAGAAGGUCCUCCUCUAGACUACUACUCAUGUUUCAUUGGACAAAUUUGGUCCCAUGGAAUUUCUUAAGUCAUUUACUGAUGAGGAAAGUGGAAUUAUCAUGACUGGAUUAGACUACCUAAGAUUCACCACUCCUGAGCCUGGAGAAAGAUAAUUUUCUCAGAGCAAACAACUGCAUAUGGCUGAAGAUAGGAAUGAACUAUAAAACAAAAUUGGAGUCCUCCAGGAAAGAAAGGGGGAAUUAAAGGGAAAUGAUUGUGUAGGCAAAACACAAUAGUCUCCAAUGCCAAAUAAACUUUGUUUUGUUACUCUCUCAUCUACUUUAUCACAUUUUUUUCCUUGUUACCCUUCUCACCUUAAUUCAUCACCAAUAAGCCUCUUUAAAUCAAAUUUUUGAUGGUCAUCCAUAAAUCUCCAAGAAAUUGAGUGAUAAUUAACAUUACAGUGAUAAUGAGCUUAAGGUCUUGUUUCUUCUUGAAAGCUGGGAGGGUAGGAGGGGAGUGAAUGGUAAGAAAUUACUUAGUGGGGGCAAUACUCAUUAUUUGGGUGAUGGGUUACCCUAUAAGUCCAGACUUUACCAUUAUACAAUAUAUCCAUGUAACAAAACUGCAUUUGCACCAUUUAAAUGUAUACAAAUUUUUAAAAAGAAAGCUCUAAAAGAUAUAAACAUCUUCAAGAUCUAUAGGAAUAAAGCAGUCAUGGGGGUGUGGCAGGCAAGAAAGGAUUUAAGGCCCAGUUCGCUCCUAUGACCUCCUCACUUUAUCUCCUAUCACACUACUCUGCACACUCUGUUAUGGCCACGUCGGCCUCUCUGCAGUUCCUCUAAGAGGCCAGCAUUCUCUCACCCUGGGGACUUUGUACUUUACUUCCCUGUGCCCACACCAAGCUUUCUUCAUAUAACCAUGUUACUUAAUUCCUCCCUUACUAUGAGUUUCUGCUCACGUGCCACCUUAUUAAAGAGGUUUGUCCUGACCAUCUUAUGUAACAUAGCAACUUUAUUUCAUUCUUUGUCCUAUUACCCCAGUUUAUAUAUGCUUAUGGCUCUUAUAACCACCUGACAUGGUAUGCAUUUAUUUAUUGUUCUUAUAAGUAAUUAUCCAUGAGACAAGUGUUUAUAUUUUGUUCACAGUUUGUUUCUCUGAGCCUAGUAUAGUGCCUGACACAUAUAGGCAUGUCUUAAAUAUGUAUAGAAUGAACUGAUGGGUGGCUACUGGCCAUGGGAAACUUAGAUGAUCUUUCUGUUCCUUAACGUAGAUCACAACAUAAUUCAAGAGGUACCUCAUCCUGGGCAGGCAUCUUUCUCUAUGAUAAUCAGUAAUACCCAUAGUAAGCCCAAGUAAGUCGAUAUCUUUCUUCUUUCAUCUACUUUCCUCUAAGCAAGACCCUCAUUUUUUAGGGUGAGCUGUUUAUGUUGAAAGCUGAACAGCAUCUAUCAUUCUAAUAAGAAAUAAAAGGCAAAUCCCAACAGAGUAGUGACUGAGACACAUCCUACAACUUAUAAUACUCUAAUUAGAAAAUGUGUUUUAAUUCUGAUUCAAUUGUAUUUUAUAUGCCAGAAAUAGUCAUAAAAACGUAUGUCAAAAUCAUGAAGAAAUAAGGUAAUAUAAUUAGUCAAUAGUGAUUUAAAAAAUAAGUUUAGUAUGGCUUGGAAUUUCCAUUUGAUGUGGAACUUAAGCCACAUAUGCACAAAAUGUUUCGGAGACUUCCAGGCAAAAUGGCAAUAGGAAUACUAGACAUAAUUGCCAGCAGAAAAACAUGGAAACGUCUAUAUACAAGAUUGAAAGGAAGACAGCCAGACUACAGUGAUAGGCAGGUGAGGGAACAGCCUAUGUGCAUUACAUAUGAAAGACGUCCCUGCAGAACCUAGUAACAUCCACUGUCUGUGUGCCGGCAGUGGUGGUAGGUGAAUAUCUGAACCCCACUAGUAUUGCUGGGAAGACUGUGAGAUAGGGACCACGAAGACCAGCCUGUCCAGGCCUAUGCUAGGUGAGAAGAGCCCAGUCAGCAUGGGAAAGGGAUCAUCUUAGAAUGAGGUCACCCUUGCCUGGCAAAGAGAAGGACCCUGGUCCCCUGUCUCUGGGUUUCCUCACCAAACUCAGAGGAUAAAUUCUUUGGGAAAUUUCUCAAGUUAAGGGGAUCUGAAGUGGUAAGAUGAAGGCACAGCAAACCCAAACAGAUUUCUUUUCUGAAAAGAGUUCAGCAAACUGCCCCUCAAUCUCUGACAGAACCCAUUUUAAUUCUCAAUUCUGAGUAUUGAGUAACAAGUUUGAUUUAUGAAAUGCUAUGUAACUUUUGUUUUAAAUAUCACAUUCUCAACUAACAUUUGAGGAUGUAAGAGAUCCUUUUAUUAUAUGUGUUAUAUUAAGUGAAAAAUGUGUAAACAAGUAGGUGAUUUAGGAUUACAACCUGAAAAUAUUUUAUACAACUAAACACACAAAAAUUGAUACAAAAGUAUGGCACAGAUAUACAGUUGGCACUCAGUAUCCAGGGGGGAUUGGUCCCAGAACCCUUUGUGAUACCAAUAUCUGUGGAUGCUCAAGUCCCUUAAUAGUGUAAUAGUGUAGUAUUAGCAUAUAACCUAUGCACAUCUUCCCAUAUAUGUGAAAUCAUCUCUAGAUUACUUAUAAUGUCUCAUACAAUGUAAAUGCUAUGUAAAUAGUUGGAAUACUGUAUUGUUUAGAGAAUCAUUACAAGAAAAAAAAGUGUUUGUACCUUUAUAGCACAGACGCAGCCAUCCAUUUUUUUCUCCCAAAUAUUUUCAAUCCAUGAUUGGUUGAAUCCACAAAUGUGGAGUCCACUGAUGUGGAGGGCCAACUGCACUCCAUUAUGGCAACUGUAUCAAAAUCGCAAAGUUAUUUUUAUUCUUACUUUUCAUAUGUUAGGUGAGAAGAAACUUAAUUGGCCUUUUAUUCAGGAUAUAUCCAGAAUCCAAACACUAUCUACAAUUGCUGCCACUCUGGCCUGAACCACCAUCAUUUUUUUUUUCUCAAAUUGCUGCAUUAGCCUCCUAAUAGUUCUACUGGCUUCCCUUCUUGCCCACUGUGUGCCCCAUGGUGUAGUUUCUACACAGCAGACAGAGUGGCCUUUCAAAGACGUAAGUCAGAUUUCUCUGCUCAGAACUUCCCAGUGACUGCACAUCACUGUCAUUUCAUAAGCCUCUCUAUUAACUAGUCAGACAUUAUGUUCUGCUACUGUUCUUGUACUGACUCUUGUCCAACCACACUGACCUCCUUGUGGGUCCUUAGAUUUGACAAUCAUGUUCUUUCCUUUGCACGGGCUGUUCUUGCUGCCUGGAAUUCUUCCUUUAGUUAGCACUCUCUUCAAGCCUUUAAUGUAACCUUCUCAAGAAAUCCAGCUACCCCCUCAACACACCCCCUCCUCCUUCUAGUCUUGCCAAAUAUCUCCAAACUUCCUUCCCAGAGUCAUGUUGCACAGUUCCAGGGGAUGGGUGUCUCAUAAAAUAGAAUGUGAAUGAUACUUACUGAAAUUGUGUGGAAUGUGAAGACCUCACUUUAUUUUUCUCGAUAGUUCUUAUCACCUUUUAAUACAUUAUAUCAUUUACUUUUUAAAAAUUGUCUAUCUCCUCCUCUAGGAUCAUCAGCUCCAUGAGGGUGGGAAUGUCUGUUGUACUUACUGCUAUAACCUCAGUUCCUAGAACAAUGUCUGGCACAUAGUACACGCUAAAAAAUAAAUGAAUCACAGGGUAGUAUA
rnacentral:lncRNA from 10 species